AUGUAUAAAGCGUCUGACAUGCAGGAUGCAAUGGAUAGUGUUAGAGGAGCUGCAGAUGGAAUACGCAUGAGCUGCAAAGCAGCUGCAAAGAAGUUUAAAGUACCGCGGUCGACUCUACAGAGAAAACUGAAAGAUUCCGGCUCCGCAGAGGAUAGAAAGGUCGGCCCAGAAGCAGUGUUGGGAAGAACAAAUGAGGAGACGCUAGUGCAGUGGGCCUUGCAUAUGUUCCAGUCAUUACAUUUAAGAAAGGUUAUAACUAAAUAAUGCACCUGAGACUGAUUGCAAGUAUAUUUUUAAAAGCUAAGUAGGUAGUAAAACUGCAAUAUUAUAGAAAAUUCUUGAUAAAUAUGUUUACUUAGUUGGUUUAUUUUAAGAAGUUUCAAUGUUCCUUUUGAUAUGAGAUUGUUGAAAGUAAUGAAUUACUCAUGGUUUACUUCAGGAUUUUUGUAUUCAAAGAGUUUAUUCUGUUCCACUGUGCAUUUCAUUUAAUUUUUUUGCUGUUUCUUAUUUUUGAUACGUUAAAAGUUUUAAACCAAUUCAAUUUUCUUCAAUUUAAAAUGUCCUACCUCCUAAAAAAAUCCAUUCUGAGGGAAAGUUAAUUCAUGCAGAACGUACAAACUCAGGUGAAGAAAGAGUUUUAAGAUACAUUUAAAACAACCUGUUUUGUUUUGAAUUUCACGACCGAAUUCAUUGCCUAACUGUAAAAUUUCAAUGGAAAAAAACAAUCUGGGUUCCACGACUUAGGGUCCUUUUUCGAGUGAAAGUAAAAAUCUUCAGGGGGUGCCAUGAACUGGGGCAGUUGGAUGUCAAUCACUGGUGCAUAGGUGUCAUUCACUGGUGCAUCAUGAAUUUUUUCAUUAAAACCAGUUAUUUUAACAUUUAUUUUUAAGAUUAAAACGAAUUUUGGUUUUAUUCACAAACUAGAAAGAUUUGCUGAAGAUUGAUUGCAAAAACUUAAAGAUUCAUCAAGUUUUGAAAUUAUGAGAACUAAUCAAAGUCAACCUCCACCACUAAGGUGCCAUUCAUUGGCGCAGUUACCUUACUUAAGUUUUUGGUAAGAAACCGCAAGUUCUUUAUCAAUUAUUUAACUUAUUUCUAUUGUUCCAUAGGUUAUGAAAACUUUUAAAGACAUAACUGAUGUAAUUAUGUAACUAAUUUCAUCGUAUUCAUAGUUAAAAAUUGAUUUUAAGAUUGUCCAGGGGUGGCAGUAACCAGUUCACUCAUUUUCUGGGAUCGCCAGUGAGUGCCAUAGGUGGCAUCUACCAGUGCAGGUUUUUUGGGAUGACUUAGUGAAUGCCACUCUGCUUUAUAACUUUUUCUUAGAUCAUCAAUGAAAAUGUUCCAUAUUCUUUUACAUAUUUGACUUCAAAAAUACCAAAUAGUGUACUAUAUAGGAUUACUAAAUCAUCAGUGUUGAUGUAACUCUAAGGAACACAAAUUUAAACUCUAUUCCUUGUGUAGAGAAUUGAACUCGUUGUUAACUUUGAGAAAGUUCGUUAAAUUUUCUCCUUUUUUGCUUUUCAGCCAUGGCCAGGGCCAGAAAGAAUCGAGCAAGCAAAGCUAAGAAAAGCGCCACCAAGAAGAAUAGAGAGCCAAAAUUUUCCUAUACAGUUGAUGCUAUAAGAGAUUGUGAGGCCAAUAAUCUCGUUGCUAUGCGAAAUUCCUGGCCUCGACUUCGUUGAUGAGUCAUCUCGAAAUCAAUAUCCCAGGCGCCCCAUAGUCGCCGAGAUUCCCCAUGCUUUGACGAAUUAAUGUCCUGCGCCGUCAAGCGCCCGAGAUGUCUUGACCAGCUCCCGACGCAUUCUAUUCACAUUCUUAAUUUAUCUCUCUUACUUAAAGUAUCUCUGCUCCGCAGCUCAGGUUUGUGCCCUCAAGCACUAUGUCACAAUUUAGUGACUCCGAUUGAGUCUCGUUAAGGCUCCGGUUACAAUUAGUAACUGCGAACGAGUUUCGUUACAACUCAAACCUUCGACGGUGUUACGCACAACACAACCAGUCCGAGUACUUUACACUCACUUCGUUUUACACGCGUUAAGUGUUAAAUCGGUGGUAACACGUAAGUUACAUUCGACCGCGUACGUUACACGCAAACCCGACCGCGUACGUUACACGCAACCCGACCGCAUACGUUACAUGCAAAACUUCAGCAUCAAUCGUUAUAUGGGGCGCUAAGACGUUACACCUCACUUUAAAAUGAUUCUUAUACUUUUGGGAACGCUCUGCUUUCUCACCUCAACGCUAGCAAUGGCCUUUCUUCAUCCGUCCUUGACAGGUUUUGAUUGCACCGAAAAUCCAAGCAGUGUGGUUGAAAUUUCCUUAAAUGAGAAUGGACUUAGCUGUUCCUACAGCCCCGGCAGAUGUGCUUCCAACAAAACCAAUAACUCCUAAAAAUAUUAUCCUUUCCGCAGUCCUCUACGAAAUUGGCAGAUUAAAAUCACUUGAAUCACCUACCCCAGUUUUCUUUUACGCCUGGGACCCCAAAACGAAAUUGCAAUUAUUAUUCUUUCCUUGUACCCAGAAUUAAAAUCGGAAUCAGAUCAUACUAUUGAGCUUAAUUUUCAACCAAAACUAAGCACAAUCAGAAUUUCAAGAUCUCAAGGCCCACCAAUAUUUUCUAUUGAACUAAUGGUCACAGAAGCUGAAGAACUUACUUUCAGGAUCCAUAAAUAAUUUUAAAAAUACCUGAUAUGUCCUCUUCUGAAGUUACCAAAUGCUAUUUUAGUCAGUGCAGUGAUACACAAAUCUUAAACUUUUUGAAUCAUAUUCUCCACUACAAACGUAUCCUUCCCCUUUCAAAUCAAUUUUGCACCUAUUUUUCAAUAAUUGCUUCCGCUGAAAAUUGCUCUUACAUGCGAAGCAAAAUUAUGAACUUUGUAGCUCGACCCUUUCCUAUCAAGAAAGUGUAGAAUCGCUUCUAAUUUACGAUGGUAAACUCUAUUUAAUGGUCAACUCUACCAAAUUUAGCCUAGUCAUUGAUUUCAUUAUUACAAAAAAUCACAAUAAUAUUUCUCUUUUGCACCAUUCAACAGACUCUAAUUUAACUGAUCCAACACUCCAUUCUUAAGACUUAUCUUCUUGCAAUGAUUUCUAUGGAAUUUAUCCUUUACCACUUGGAUCUGAUUCUCGAAAGAAUAAAAUUGGAUUUCUUCAACCCUCUCUUAUU
rnacentral:lncRNA from 1 species